rnacentral:rRNA from 1 species
UAUUGGACAAUGGGCGAAAGCCUGAUCCAGCAAUGCCGCGUGAGUGAUGAAGGCCUUAGGGUUGUAAAGCUCUUUUACCCGGGAUGAUAAUGACAGUACCGGGAGAAUAAGCUCCGGCUAACUCCGCGCCAGCAGCCGCGGUAAUACGGAGGGAGCUAGCGUUGUUCGGAAUUACUGGGCGUAAAGCGCACGUAGGCGGCUUUGUAAGUUAGAGGUGAAAGCCUGGAGCUCAACUCCAGAAUUGCCUUUGAUACUGCAUCGCUUGAAUCCAGGAGAGGUGAGUGGAAUUCCGAGUGUAGAGGUGAAAUUCGUAGAUAUUCGGAAGAACACCAGUGGCGAAGGCGGCUCACUGGACUGGUAUUGACGCUGAGGUGCGAAA